rnacentral:rRNA from 1 species
UACGUAGGGUGCGAGCGUUUAAUCGGAAUUACUGGGCGUAAAGGGUGCGCAGGCGGUUUUGUAAGCCAGAUGUGAAAUCCCCGGGCUCAACCUGGGAAUGGCAUUUGGGACUGCAAGGCUAGAGUGUGGCAGAGGAGACUGGAAUUCCCGGUGUAGCGUGAAAUGCGUAGAUAUCAGGAGGAACACCGAUUGCGAAGGCAGCUCGCUGGGACGUAACUGACGCUGAGACGCGAAAGCGUGGGGAGCAAACAGG